AUCAUACUCCCUCCAUACGGAAUUACUUGUCAUCAAAAUGGAUGUGUCUAGAACUAAAAUACAUCUAGAUACAUCCAUUUCAAUGACAAGUAUUUUUGGACGGAGGGAGUAGUAG
rnacentral:pre_miRNA from 1 species